GACGAACCGUGCGAACGUUAUUCGGAAUCACUGGGCUUAAAGCGCGUGUAGGCGGGACGGCACGUCGGUCGCUGAAAUCCCCCGGCUUAACCGGGGAACGGGCGUCGAUACGACCGUCCUGGAGGGGCGUAGGGGGACCUGGAACUUCCGGUGGAGCGGUGAAAUGCGUUGAGAUCGGAAGGAACGCCCGUGGCGAAAGCGAGGUCCUGGACGCCUACUGACGCUGAGACGCGAAAGCCAGGGGAUCGAACGGG
rnacentral:rRNA from 1 species